rnacentral:rRNA from 1 species
GCAAGUCGAACGGCAGCACGGGAGCUUGCUCCUGGUGGCGAGUGGCGAACGGCUGAGUAAUAUANUCGGAACGUACCCUAGAGUGGGGGAUAACGCAGCGAAAGUUGCGCUAAUACCGCAUACGAUCUACGGAUGAAAGUGGGGGAUCGCAAGACCUCAUGCUCAUGGAGCGGCCGAUAUCUGAUUAGCUAGUUGGUGGGGUAAAGGCCUACCAAGGCAUCGAUCAGUAGCUGGUCUGAGAGGACGACCAGCCACACUGGAACUGAGACACGGUCCAGACUCCUAUGGGAGGCAGCAGUGGGGAAUUUUGGACAAUGGGGGCAACCCUGAUCCAGCAAUGCCGCGUGAGUGAAGAAGGCCUUCGGGUUGUAAAGCUCUUUUGUCAGGGAAGAAACGGUGAGGGCUAAUAUCCUUUGCUAAUGACGGUACCUGAAGAAUAAGCACCGGCUAACUACGUGCCAGCAGCCGCGGUAAUACGUAGGGUGCAAGCGUUAAUCGGAAUUACUGGGCGUAAAGCGUGCGCAGGCGGUUAUGUAAGUCAGAUGUGAAAUCCCCGGGCUCAACCUGGGAAUGGCAUUUGAGACUGCAUGGCUAGAGUGUGUCAGAGGGGGGUAGAAUUCCACGUGUAGCAGUGAAAUGCGUAGAGAUGUGGAGGAAUACCGAUGGCGAAGGCAGCCCCCUGGGAUAACACUGACGCUCAUGCACGAAAGCGUGGGGAGCAAACAGGAUUAGAUACCCUGGUAGUCCACGCCCUAAACGAUGUCUACUAGUUGUCGGGACUUAAUUGUCUUGGUAACGCAGCUAACGCGUGAAGU